CCUACGGGAGGUAGCAGUGGGGAAUAUUGGACAAUGGGCGAAAGCCUGAUCCAGCCAUGCCGCGUGUGUGAAGAAGGCCUUCGGGUUGUAAAGCACUUUCAGUGGGGAAGAAAGCCUUGGGGCUAAUACCCUCGAGGAAGGACAUCACCCACAGAAGAAGCACCGGCUAACUCCGUGCCAGCAGCCGCGGUAAUACGGAGGGUGCGAGCGUUAAUCGGAAUUACUGGGCGUAAAGCGCGCGUAGGCGGUCUGAUAAGCCGGUUGUGAAAGCCCCGGGCUCAACCUGGGAACGGCAUCCGGAACUGUCAGGCUAGAGUGCAGGAGAGGAAGGUAGAAUUCCCGGUGUAGCGGUGAAAUGCGUAGAGAUCGGGAGGAAUACCAGUGGCGAAGGCGGCCUUCUGGACUGACACUGACGCUGAGGUGCGAAAGCGUGGGUAGCAAACAGGAUUAGAUACCCCUGUAGUC
rnacentral:rRNA from 1 species